rnacentral:lncRNA from 1 species
UAAUAUUGUACUUACAGUUUAUAAGCUGUAAUUUCUUAUUGUUUAUAAAUUAUAAAUAAUUACUUUUCAUGAAGGCCAUUAAGGAAAAAAGGAGAAGAAAAAAAAAAAACACUAAGGAGGUUUUGGAGUCAUCCUGGUCCGGGUUACAGGCACUCGGGGUAGUCUAUGCUGUGUUUAUAAACAGCAAUUUGCAGGACUCCUUAUCUAAUUUAUCUAAUGAGGCUCAGAGCCUCCCUCAGUUGGCACCGUUUUACUGCCCAGGCAGAGAAAAAGAAAAUAUUACUUUUGCUGAACCCAGAUGCCUUGGAGAGAACCUCCAAUGUGGCACAGGAUGGAAUUUUGCAGAUGGGGUAAAGGGAUUAAGGAAAUAGCCCCCAGGAGGCAGAAAGGAAGACCUGAACAAAGGAGAUGAAAUAGGAAGAGACAAAUUUAGGCAUGGAGUCAUCUCUUGGGGCUGCCAAAGUCUGCACAGCAAGCAUUUUUCUUGCUACCAUUUAGGAAGAACCAAUGUCUGUUUAUUAUGAUACAGUAAUUCACACAGUACACACUGCACACCAGGUGGUGCUGAAUAUAAACUGACAAACACUUCAGUUGACCCCCAUGGCAAAUUGGAACGCUGCUUGAGCUUACAUUUUUAUUGUUCCUCCAAUUUAAAUUUAAUUCUCAGAUUCAGCAUGAUACUCCAUCUGAAGCUGACAUGCAUGGCUCUGAAAUUAGAUCCUUUAUCCUUUAACACAAUUUGAGUGACAUGGGAAGAGGUAGUAGCCUUUUUAUUUAUUUAUUUUUUAAAUAUUUAUUUAUUUUUUUAGUUAUCGGCAGACACAACAUCUUUGUUGGUAUGUGGUGCUGAGGAUCGAACCUGGGCCGCACGCCUGCCAGGCAAGCGCACUACCGCUUGAGCCACAUCCCCAGCCCAUAGUAG